GACGAACGCUGGCGGCGUGCUUAACACAUGCGAGUCGAACGGAAAGGCCCUGCUUUUGUGGGGUGCUCGAGUGGCGAACGGGUGAGUAACACGUGAGUAACCUGCCCUUGACUUUGGGAUAACUUCAGGAAACUGGGGCUAAUACCGGAUAGGAGCUCCUGCUGCAUGGUGGGGGUUGGAAAGUUUCGGCGGUUGGGGAUGGACUCGCGGCUUAUCAGCUUGUUGGUGGGGUAGUGGCUUACCAAGGCUUUGACGGGUAGCCGGCCUGAGAGGGUGACCGGCCACAUUGGGACUGAGAUACGGCCCAGACUCCUACGGGAGGCAGCAGUGGGGAAUAUUGCACAAUGGGCGGAAGCCUGAUGCAGCAACGCCGCGUGCGGGAUGACGGCCUUCGGGUUGUAAACCGCUUUCGCCUGUGACGAAGCGUGAGUGACGGGAAUGGGUAAAGAAGCACCGGCUAACUACG
rnacentral:rRNA from 1 species